GCGUGGAUAGUAUAAUGGUAGUAUAAUUGGUUUCCAACCAAUUGGCCUGGGUUCAAUCCCCAGUCCGCGCA
rnacentral:tRNA from 1 species